GUCAAGGUGGAAAUUCUGAGAAUAAGGAAAUAAGAGAGUGUAUGUAAGUUAAGCUUUCAUCUCUGACCCUCCAUUCUAAUAGGCAAGAAGGUGUCAGAAGCAGGACAAGUGGGGAUAUGAGACCAUGAUUCAAGAAGAGAAAAUUCUUCAGAAAAGAGAAGUUGCAAAGUAGGAGGAGGAAUAGAAUCCUAAGGCAAUAAAGGCUUUUGAAGGUUCAAUUACAAAGGUUUCAUCUUCUCAACUUACCUGGAAACAGGUCUGAAGAGACAUGGAGAAGAAGCAGUUAUUGAAAUUUGGGACAUACAUAGUAGAUUCCUUAUAGAAGUUGUGACCCAAGUUAGAAAGAUCCAGCCAAGUGAAAAUGACGUCAAAGAAGGGAGCCAGUGGGGAGCACUUGAUGGGAUGAGCACUGGGUGUUAUGCUAUAUGUUGGCAAAUCGAACUCCAAUUAAAAAAUAUACAAAAAAAAAAUAAAGUGGGUUUCUUGGAAAAAAAUAAUAAUUUGAACAUAUUUUAAAAAAGGGAUCCAGUGGAAUAAUUACUUGGCCCUCCUUCUAUCAGCUUGUUGAUCUUUCAC
rnacentral:lncRNA from 1 species